rnacentral:misc_RNA from 1 species
AAAGUCGUAACAAGGUUUCCGUAGGUGAACCUGCGGAAGGAUCAUUAAAAAGUACCGAGUGGCUUCAUGCCACGGGUUAAUGCACCGAUGCCUUCGGGCACGUGACGUGUAAAAUUACUUGUUGAAACACUUUAUUUAUGCUUUCGGUUGCACCUUCCGUCUAACCACGGUUGGGUAAGUCGGCCGAUAGCACACUUUAAAAACUAGUUGAUGAAAUGUCAUGCUGUCUGAUACUGUUUAGUAUUUGAGAAAUCGAAUAUAUAUUAAAACUUUCAGCAACGGAUCUCUUGGUUCUC